AUUGAACGCUGGCGGCAGGCCUAACACAUGCAAGUCGAACGGUAACAGGAAGCAGCUUGCUGCUUCGCUGACGAGUGGCGGACGGGUGAGGAAUGUCUGGGAAACUGCCUGCUGGAGGGGGAUAACUACUGGAAACGGUAGCUAAUACCGCAUAACGUCGCAAGACCAAAGAGGGGGACCUUAGGGCCUCUUGUCAUCGGAUGUGCCCAGAUGGGAUUAGCUAGUAGGUGGGGUAACGGCUCACCUAGGCGACGAUCCCUAGCUGGUCUGAGGGGAUGACCAGCCACACUGGAACUGAGGCCCGGUCCAGACUCCUAGGGGAGGCAGCGGUGGGGAAUAUUGCACGAAGGGCGCAAGCCUGAUGCAGCCAUGCGGCGUGUAUGAAGAAGGCCUUCGGGUUGUAGAGUACUUUCAGCGGGGAGGAAGGAAGUAAAGUUAAUACCUUAGCUCAUUGACAUUACCCGCAGAAGAAGCACCGGCUAACUCCGUG
rnacentral:rRNA from 1 species